GACGAACCGAGCGAACGUUGUUCGGAAUCACUGGGCUUAAAGGGUGCGUAGGCGGGCUGCCAAGUUUGGGGUGAAAUCCUCCGGCUCAACCGGGGAAGUGCCUCGAAUACUGGCGGUCUGGAGGGAGGUAGGGGCGUGCGGAACUAACGGUGGAGCGGUGAAAUGCGUUGAUAUCGUUAGGAACUCCGGUGGCGAAGGCGGCAUCCUGGACCGGUAUUGACGCUGAUGCGCGAAAGCCAGGGGAGCAAACGGG
rnacentral:rRNA from 1 species